rnacentral:rRNA from 2 species
AAAUUGAAGAGUUUGAUCAUGGCUCAGAUUGAACGCUGGCGGCAGGCCUAACACAUGCAAGUCGAACGGUAACAGGAAGCAGCUUGCUGCUUCGCUGACGAGUGGCGGACGGGUGAGUAAUGUCUGGGAAACUGCCUGAUGGAGGGGGAUAACUACUGGAAACGGUGGCUAAUACCGCAUAACGUCGCAAGACCAAAGAGGGGGACCUUCGGGCCUCUUGCCAUCAGAUGUGCCCAGAUGGGAUUAGCUUGUUGGUGAGGUAACGGCUCACCAAGGCGACGAUCCCUAGCUGGUCUGAGAGGAUGACCAGCCACACUGGAACUGAGACACGGUCCAGACUCCUACGGGAGGCAGCAGUGGGGAAUAUUGCACAAUGGG